rnacentral:rRNA from 1 species
UACAGAGGGUGCAAGCGUUAAUCGGAAUUACUGGGCGUAAAGCGUGUGUAGGUGGUUUGCUAAGUCAGGUGUGAAAUCCCUGGGCUCAACCUAGGAAUUGCAUUUGAUACUGGCGAGCUAGAGUGUGGAAGAGGAUAGUGGAAUUCCCGGUGUAGCGGUGAAAUGCGUAGAUAUCGGGAGGAACAUCAGUGGCGAAGGCGGCUAUCUGGUCCAACACUGACACUGAGACACGAAAGCGUGGGGAGCAAACAGG